rnacentral:rRNA from 1 species
GACGAACGCUGGCGGCGUGCCUAAUACAUGCCAGUAGAACGCUGAAGAGAGGAGCUUGCUCUUCUUGGAUGAGUUGCGAACGGGUGAGUAACGCGUAGGUAACCUGCCUUGUAGCGGGGGAUAACUAUUGGAAACGAUAGCUAAUACCGCAUAACAAUGGAUGACACAUGUCAUUUAUUUGAAAGGGGCAAUUGCUCCACUACAAGAUGGACCUGCGUUGUAUUAGCUAGUAGGUGAGGUAACGGCUCACCUAGGCGACGAUACAUAGCCGACCUGAGAGGGUGAUCGGCCACACUGGGACUGAGACACGGCCCAGACUCCUACGGGAGGCAGCAGUAGGGAAUCUUCGGCAAUGGGGGCAACCCUGACCGAGCAACGCCGCGUGAGUGAAGAAGGGUUUCGGAUCGUAAAGCUCUGUUGUAAGUCAAGAACGAGUGUGAGAGUGGAAAGUUCACACUGUGACGGUAGCUUACCAGAAAGGGACGGCUAACUACGUG